rnacentral:lncRNA from 1 species
CAAUAAAUGAAAGGUACGUUAACGGACAAAAUAUAAACAGAAAGAACAAACAAAUAAUGAAGGAAAAUAAAAAAAUAAACAAACUUACCUUAUCACACAAAUGGUUCCUAAACCACUUCACAUAUGUUCUGUAAACACUCAAGGUUUACUGCAAUCUGAAAAAAGAAAAAGAUUAUUUGAGUGGUGCAAACAGCAAAAAUGUAAAAUUUUAAUGAUGCAAGAAACACAUUUUACCAGAAGUAUGAAUGACAAUUUAAAUAAUGACUUACCUGGAGAAAUCUUUCAUAGUUGGGGUAGUAGCGCAUCAAGGGGUGUAGCAAUUUGGUUCACAAAACAAACAAAAUAUAACAUUAUAAAUGAAUUUAAAGAUCAGGAGGGACGUUAUCUAUUAAUUAAUGUUGAACUAGGAGAUAAUGUCUAUUCUCUUAUAAAUAUAUAUGCACCAAAUAUAGCAAAAAAAAGAAAUGCUUCUUUAAAAAAGUAAAAGACUGGACUCAAGAACAUAGCUUAGGCCAAAUUAUAAUGGGAGGAGAUUUUAAUGACAUUCUAAAAAUUAAUGAUACAAAAAAUAAAAAAACAAAAAACAAAUUUGACAAACCAGUUCACGGGCUUAAAAUGCUCAUAAAAUAUUUCAAAUUUAUAGAUAUAUGGAGAGAUAAAAACCCAACACAAAUUCAAUAUACAUGGCGUAGAAAAUCAGGAUUAGAAGCAACUCGAAUCGACUUCUUCCUUGUAAGUAAGGAAUGUAAAGCACAAAUAGUCAAAGCAGAUAUAAGGCCUAUUAUAUUAAAAUCAACAGACCAUAACGGUAUUUCAUUAAAAAUCAGAACUCAAAAAGUAAACAGAGGAAAAGGAUACUGGAAAUUAAACUCAUCAAUACUGAACGAUAGAGACUACUGUUGUAAUAUAGAAAAACUAAUAAAAUAUUACGAAAACAAGGAAAAAACGACAGAAAAUAUAGGUAUACUGUGGG